AAUUUGAAAAGGCAAAUCUGUGGAAACGCAGAGACGCAAAGCUAUAGGGGCUAAGCCGUUUGGUAUGCCAGCCAGCUGUCAGG
rnacentral:ncRNA from 1 species